AGCUGCAUUAACAGUGUUAACAUUAUUAACAGUAGUAGCAAUUAACAGUAUUAAGAGGAUUUACUAAUCAGUUGAUUAUGUUAUUAUUGAACCUUUAAUCUCUAACUAUAUCUUCUUCCUGUAUUUUGGCUCAGCUCUAGGUUAUGUCUCUGCUCAUGUACAUUUUAAUAAGUUCCUCAUUCACUCACCUCACCAAGGCGUAGAGAGAAAGAUGAAGUGAAGCUUUUACUCUUCAGGAACUUCAUAUCAAGUCCUUCACCUCUAUCACUUGUGGAGGAGAACAUGACUGGAUCCUGGAGACUAUUUCUGCUCUGUAGUCUCCUGCAAGAUGCAUCACUCGAUUUUUACGGAUGAUUCAAAGCCAGAAGUCAAACGCUGCACAACUUGCUGCUCACUUUUCCACUGCCCCCUAUGCCCAACUUUCAAACCAACCAUCAACACGGAGCUUCAGUGCCACCUGGAAUCCCACAUAAAACAUUCCAUUACAUUUAAAGACAAAAAGAUAUGCAGGUGCAACCUCAGCUGCAGGGAUGGGGGACAUUAUCAUUGCCCCCUUUGUGGCAAAACGAUCAUCAGGAAGUCGGUUAUGGAUCUACACCUGAAGUCCUGCACAAACACGCAAGACAGUCCCUCCACCUCCGCUGCCGUCCAUACAUCCAAUCAAAACCCCAUCACAGUCAAGACAGCCACCACCUCUCCAGCCCCGACUGCUCCUGCUCCCCAAGCUUCAACUGUUGUGUCUUCCUCUGCCGUCUCUGCUGCCCAGAGUAAAAGUACAACCGGUUUGAAAAACAGUUCCAAGUCUUAGUUUAAGUAACUAACUGGUUGCAAAAAUAAUAUAAUUGAAUAUAAAAUUAUUCCAACUUGGUGGCAUUUCAUUUUCCAUUAAACAGUGGCCACUUUACAACAUUGUGGCUGGAGUUGCCUGGCUGCGUAAGCAUGCAGGUUUGCUCAAGGGGAAGGUGGUCGAGCCUGCAUUUCCGAACAUGGACGCAAAAGAACAGCAGGAGCUCCUGGAAAGGAUACGUUCUUCAAGUGAUGAAGAAGAAAAGUACCCCCUGCUCUUCACAUUUGGCUUUCAGGAAGACAUGGAGGUCUUCCUUAACAUGGCAGCUGAGGAGGAUCUUCGGGUCAACGCCAUGUUUCUGGGUCGCUGGGUGGACAGCCAGUGACAUUGCUGUGUGUGUGUGUGUGUGUGUGUGUGUGUGUGUGUGUGUGUGUGUGUGUGUGUGUGUGUGUGUGUGUGUGUGUGUGUGUGUGUGUGUGUGUGUGUGUGUGUGUGUGUGUGUGUGUGUGUGUGUGUGUGUGUGUGUUGAGGUUCUGAGUUCAGUUAUCUGUUGAGUGUUCUUAAUAAAGUGUUACAACGUUUGCAAUGUAUUGAUUUUUUUUA
rnacentral:lncRNA from 1 species